rnacentral:lncRNA from 1 species
GUGUGUAUUAAAGUGUCCUAAGAGCUGUCUAAAUUUCUAGAGUUGUUGAACCUACUUUUCAUCUUAGAAUGGUUAAGAGUCUUGUGUUAUGAAUUGAAGAUAUAUGUCAUGUUUGAAUGUGUAUUAGGGUGAUAUAUGAGUUGUCUACUCCUAUGAUUGUAUUCAUGAGUUGUUUAAGGUGAUUAGAUGAGUUGUCUAGUCUCUGGUUUUGUUAUUUGAGCAUAUCAUUGUUUAAUUGAUUAUAAAAAAUAGCUUAAAUGUCUUGUAAUUGAUGAGUUAUCAUACUUGAACAUUUAGUGAGUUGGUUGCAUGAAUUUGAACUAGAUAAUUUAUUUAGAUUUUGUCCAUUGCAUUUUCUCAAAACAUUCGGAUCAGAAUCGCUGAGUUAUCAAGAUCCUAGUGUGUAUGGUCUGAUUCUUGCUAGAGUUUGAGUGAUGUUUCAGGUACACAAGUGUUGUUCUCUGUCCAUCAUCAAAUCAAGACAAAGAAGAAGGCUUUGCCUAUGUUGUUUUGAGCCUACACAUGAUGUAUCUUUAUGUUUGAUUUAGAGCCUAUACAUAAUGUAUAUUCCUGACCAUGGAGAGAUUGUUUGUGAGAAGACCAGGUGGUAUUAAGUCGUGGCUGAGACAGAAUAUGGCUGAACUUUAAAGAAAUUUCAUGAAGGAGUAUUGAUGGAGAGACAGACCAAUGUUUGAUCAGCCACCCACCAAACUGAAUUUCCUCGUAGAUUGCAAUGUCAAAGAUGAGGUGACUUGUAGCUGAAGAAGAUAACAAGUCAGGAAUAAGUGGCACUCAUAUAAAGCUUGUCUCCUUCACUAUACUCAGAACCAUAUGUUCUAACACCAAGUUGUUGAUGUCCUUGUUGAAUUCUUCUUGCAAGAGUUUCUAGAUAGGCCAUGGAAGCACAUUUACUGCCACAGGUGGUAUUAAGUCGUGGCUGAGACAGAAUAUGGCUGAACUUUGAAGAUACUUCAUGAAGGAGUAUUGAUGGAGAGGCAGACAAGUGUUUGAUCAGCCACCCACCAAGCUGGAUUUCCUCGUAGAUUGCAAUUUCAAAGAUGAAGUGACUUGUAGCUGAAGAAGCUAACAAGUCAGGAAUAAGUGGCGCUCAUAUCAAGCUCCUUCAUUAUACUCGGAGCCAAUCUUGAGGGGGGCAGUAAAUGAGCUUCCAUGGCCUAUCUAGAAACUCUUGCAAGAAGAAUUCAACAAGGACAUCAACAACUUGGUGUUAGAACAU